GAAGGGGCAGUCCCUUUUUAAGCACUGAUUGGCUGCUGCUCGGAAUGCGUCAUGUCCUGUGAUUUCCCCCGGGUGUUUGCAGCAAUAGCGACAGCGUGUUUGUCCAGCGUACUGGUGCCCUUGUGCUGUUGGUGGCUUAAAUGACUGUGCACCCUCAGUUGGCUGUGGUUGACCUGUUGUAGGUUAAACAGUGCUGUAAAAGACGUUAAUGUGUCUGGGGUGAUGCCACUGUGUGGGUUCUCCCUUUUGUUCUACGUGGUUUCCUCUGGUUGCUGCAUGUUUGAGUCUCGUGCUGCUUUAUCGCACCGCUGUAACAUUACAUUAUUGUCACCGCUGUAAACCGGACUGUCCACUGUCUGGUUUCUGAACUUGAGUGUGUAUUAUCUUGAAGUGGAGGAUUAGCGCAUUGGAGCCGGCGUAUGGACUUUGGUGUUUGCGCCAUGACUUUCGUGUAGCUUCAGCUGCCAGUUUUCUUUUCUUUUUUUUUUUGUUUUGUUUCUAUUGUAAAAUUUGUAUAUUAUUGUUU